rnacentral:rRNA from 1 species
CGGUAAGGUGAUAUGAACCGUUAUAACCGGCGAUACCCGAAUGGGGAAACCCAGUGUGUUUCGACACACUAUCAUGUCAUGAAUACAUAGUGGCAUGAGGCGAACCGGGGGAACUGAAACAUCUAAGUACCCCGAGGAAAAGAAAUCAACCGAGAUUCCCCCAGUAGCGGCGAGCGAACGGGGAGGAGCCCAGAACCUGAAUCGGCUUGUGUGUUAGUGGAAGCGUCUGGAAAGUCGCGCAGCAAAGGGUGAUAGCCCCGUACACUAAAAUGCACAGGUCGUGAGUUCGAUGAGUAGGGCGGGACACGUGACAUCCUGUCUGAAUAUGGGGGGACCAUCCUCCAAGGCUAAAUACUCCUGACUGACCGAUAGUGAACCAGUACCGUGAGGGAAAGGCGAAAAGAACCCCGGCGAGGGGAGUGAAAUAGAACCUGAAACCGUGUACGUACAAGCAGUGGGAGCACCUUCGUGGUGUGACUGCGUACCUUUUGUAUAAUGGGUCAGCGACUUAUAUUUUGUAGCAAGGUUAACCGUAUAGGGGAGCCGUAGGGAAACCGAGUCUUAACUGGGCGAAUAGUUGCAAGGUAUAGACCCGAAACCCGGUGAUCUAGCCAUGGGCAGGUUGAAGGUUGGGUAACACUAACUGGAGGACCGAACCGACUAAUGUUGAAAAAUUAGCGGAUGACUUGUGGCUGGGGGUGAAAGGCCAAUCAAACCGGGAGAUAGCUGGUUCUCCCCGAAAGCUAUUUAGGUAGCGCCUCGUGAACUCAUCUUCGGGGGUAGAGCACUGUUUCGGCUAGGGGGCCAUCCCGGCUUACCAAACCGAUGCAAACUCCGAAUACCGAAGAAUGUUAUCACGGGAGACACACGGCGGGUGCUAACGUCCGUCGUGAAGAGGGAAACAACCCAGACCGCCAGCUAAGGUCCCAAAGUCAUGGUUAAGU